AUUGAUGAGAAACUCCAGGAAUGGUUUCCACAUUUAAUCAAACCUGAAGAAUUGAUCAAACUCAAAGAAAGUGAAGAUUUAAUGAAGAUGUUUGGUGAUAUUGUGUUGUCAUUUCAACUCCAUGAUAAAGAUAAUAUACCCACAAAUAUUUAUAUUACAAAAUGUGAUCCAAAUGUGGCGGCGUUUUUAGACUUUCACAAACGUUUCCAGGCGCUGAUAGUCUUCUUUAUUGAUGCUGCAUCAAUCAUAGACUACACAGACCCCAACUGGGUGUAU